rnacentral:rRNA from 1 species
AGUCGAGCGGACAGAAGGGAGCUUGCUCCCGGAUGUUAGCGGCGGACGGGUGAGUAACACGUGGGUAACCUGCCUGUAAGACUGGGAUAACUCCGGGAAACCGGAGCUAAUACCGGAUAGUUCCUUGAACCGCAUGGUUCAAGGAUGAAAGACGGUUUCGGCUGUCACUUACAGAUGGACCCGCGGCGCAUUAGCUAGUUGGUGAGGUAACGGCUCACCAAGGCGACGAUGCGUAGCCGACCUGAGAGGGUGAUCGGCCACACUGGGACUGAGACACGGCCCAGACUCCUACGGGAGGCAGCAGUAGGGAAUCUUCCGCAAUGGACGAAAGUCUGACGGAGCAACGCCGCGUGAGUGAUGAAGGUUUUCGGAUCGUAAAGCUCUGUUGUUAGGGAAGAACAAGUGCAAGAGUAACUGCUUGCACCUUGACGGUACCUAACCAGAAAGCCACGGCUAACUACGUGCCAGCAGCCGCGGUAAUACGUAGGUGGCAAGCGUUGUCCGGAAUUAUUGGGCGUAAAGGGCUCGCAGGCGGUUUCUUAAGUCUGAUGUGAAAGCCCCCGGCUCAACCGGGGAGGGUCAUUGGAAACUGGGAAACUUGAGUGCAGAAGAGGAGAGUGGAAUUCCACGUGUAGCGGUGAAAUGCGUAGAGAUGUGGAGGAACACCAGUGGCGAAGGCGACUCUCUGGUCUGUAACUGACGCUGAGGAGCGAAAGCGUGGGGAGCGAACAGGAUUAGAUACCCUGGUAGUCCACGCCGUAAACGAUGAGUGCUAAGUGUUAGGGGGUUUCCGCCCCUUAGUGCUGCAGCUAACGCAUUAAGCACUCCG